AGUAGAAUGCUGGAGUAAGGCUAAUGGUUCCAUAAUGCUAUUAGAUUGAGUUAACAAAAAGUGGUUUUUUUAAUAUAUAAAAAAAGAAAAAGAAAACAGUUGUCAGUCAUACUCACCGAUGACCAAUUGUGAGGGCAUUAUAUGUUAUCUGUCUUCACUGUCUUUUUUUUUUUUUUUUCAACCUUCCUUAUGUUGACAAUCAUCGUAGCCUUUCAAUGAAAAACCUGUUUGAUAUA